CAAGUAUGACAAGUAAUCGCGGCUGCGAAUGCCGAAAGGCUGCAGGUGAGGAAAGUCCGGGCUUCAUAGGGCAGGAUGCCGGAUAACGUCCGGUGGAGGCGACUCCAAGGCCAGUGCAACAGAAAUGUACCGCCUGGACGGCGGCGCGCCGUCCAGGUAAGGGUGGAAGGGCAGUGUAAGAGACUACCGCCCUGCUGGUAACAGCAGGGGUUCAUGUAAACCCCAUCCGAAGCAAGGCCGAACAGAGACAAUGUGGCUGCCCGUCACGUCUCAGGUAGGCCGCUGGAGCCUGCUGGCAACAGCAGGCCUAGAUAGAUGAUUACUCAACGACAUAACCCGGCUUAUCGUCAUGCUUGUAUU
rnacentral:RNase_P_RNA from 1 species